UUGAGCUGUAUGCGGGGAAACCCGCACGUACAGUUCUUAGGGGAGGAUGCGAUGGUAACAUCGCAUCUUUACCCGAU
rnacentral:ncRNA from 1 species